CACACACACACACACAACGUCUAGAGGCACAGAGAACUGUGUGUGUUAGCUGACAGACACAGUGUACACACUACGUCAAACGGCAGGACCCGCGUGUGUGUGUGUGUGUCAAAAGAAGAGAACUGGGAGAGAGAGGCACUGCACGUAAAGGAACAACACUCGCGCCUGUGUGUGUAUGAGUGUCGGGAGGAGAAAGGAAAGCUACGAGAGACUGAGCAGCAUUGCAGACGUCUCAGACAUACGUCUUACCCUGCCAACACACACACACACACAACAAAGAACAGUCGGAGAGAAGGACCGUCAGAGACAAAGACAGAGGGAGAGAAAGAGAGAGGGAGAGAGAGAGAGAGAGGGAGAGAGAGAAGAGCACCAAACCACUCCGGAGCUGGGAGAAAGUUAGCAGUGUGGUGUGGUGAUGGAGGCUAAGCUGGAGAUGGAGGGGAUCGUCCAGAGGAUUUGGGCCAAACUGCAGGGCCUACCAGACGCCAACGCUCUGGAGAUAGGGGCCUUCUUCAUACUCAUACUGUUCGUAGCAACGUUUGUGAUGCUGAUCGUGCUGUCGUGCAUCCAUUGCUGCUGCUGCGGAAAACCCAAAUACCAAGCGUCCCGGAUCCAGCCCGUUUGAAGCCCAAAUACCAAGCGGCCCGGAUCCAGCCCGUUUGAAGCCCAAAUACCAAGCGUCCCGGAUCCAGCCCGUUUGAAGCCAUCCUCCUCCCUCCAGGCUACCAUGAGCGAGGUCACGACCUCACACAGUGGAGAGACCACAAAAGGGGUCCAUCUCAAUAUCCACACUCCUGUCCUUUCCUUUUCCUUGCGGCCUUGUGCUUCGUUGACGCCCUGCCUCCCAUGGAAAAAAAGUAAUACCCACUGUCAGGCUAUAGGCUUAAGAACUUUUUAGACAACAUCCCAAUUGCAAAUGAGAGAAAUGACCAUCGAACUGUACUUUUGCAAGACACUGAAUGAAAUGUCUAUUAUCAUCGAUGACCCUUUGCCUCGGAUUACGAGGCCACAAGCUAAAGGAGAGGAUGGGAGGACAGAUAUUGGGCAGGAGCCUAAAUGUUGAACAGUGUUGCCAGAUUGGGCGGGUGCCUGCCCAAUUGGACUACUUGGGACGAGCGUCUGCGGGUAAAAAAGGGAAAAAUUGGCUAUUUGGCGGGUUUUUUUCAGCUGUUUUGGGCCCAUAGAAGUCAAUGUAAUUUGAUAAAUUUGGGCGGAAUUUAGUGCAUUUUGGCGGUUUUUGAGAACCUUUUGGGCGGGAUUUGAUCAGACAUAUCUGGCAACACUAGUGUGGAACUGGACAGCUGGACUGUUGGACCGCUGCAGCCUGAUCAGUAUUGAGAUGAAGUAUACAUAGAAAUGACGCUAACACUUUAUUUUAGGGAUACAUCUAUUAGCACUAAUACAUGCAAUGUUAAUGGCUGCAUAAGUAACUUGUAAGGCAUGUGCUAAGCAAACGCUAAGGCCUACUAGGUACUUACUAAGGUUAAAUUGGUAAUAAAUCCCUUAUUGUGCAUGAACAAGACAUUUGCGAAUACAUGCCUAACAAAUGUUUGAUUUUGCUUUGUACAUGCCUUACAAGUUACUUAUACAGGCACAUUGUAUGUAUUAGUGCUAAUAGAUGUAUCCCUAAAAUAAAGUGUUACCGAAAUGACUUUGAAGAAGUGUGUAUGUGUAUGUGUAUGUGUAUGAAUGUUUGAGAAUAUGUGUGUAUUUUUACAGUAUAUAUGAGAUGAAGUACACAUACAUGAUUUUGAAGAAGUGUGCUUGUGUGUGAACGUUUGUGAAUAUGUGUGUGUGUACAGAAUAUGAAUGAUUUCGAUAAGUUAUGUUUGUAUUAUCUUGAUUUAUGUGUUUGCAAUGUGCUCUUCUGUAAGAGUCUUUCGUUAUGUCUCCGUAGGCUAUUGUCACAACCUUGGUCUCUUUAAGUGAACUGAACUCCGUCCUCUUUAAGUGGACCAAGAAGUGAGCUGCUCUUUCUGGUUCAGUUAGGCUUUUGUGGGGUGUCAGUCCUCUUGUGUGGGGUGUCAGUCCUCUUUUGUGGGGUGUCAGUCCUCUUUUUGUUCACAACCAGACCAACUUCUAGAGCUUUCCUUAAAGGUACACUGUGCAGGAAAUAGGUCAAAAUAGGUACUGCAACUAUGCUGCUCAUCGAAACCGGGCUGCCUAUUGCCAAAUUUGAUAAUAAGUAAUAAAGAAAUGUUUCCUAGUAUGAUCCAAGUAGAGUCAUGUUUGCAGCUAAAAAUGGUUAUUUUUGGAAAUUCAAAAUGGCGGACCAUGGAGAAGAUCCCCCUUUUCAUUUAUUAAAAUUGCAAUUUUUCCAGUCAUAAUGAAUACUUAGAAUUUGAUGGUGGUGGUAAGUAUUCAUGAAAAAGGUAACAUUAGUGAAUGGGCAACAUGAAUUCUGGAAAUAAAUAACUAAAAAUCUCACACAGUGUCCCUUUAAGGGAUUAUACGUAGUCACAAGCGUAACUUGUCAGGACUCAUAAGCGAACCACAACGUCCAUUUCACCAGAGUUCUCUGUAUGGACCACUUCAAAGGGGUGAGGGUACGCUUUGGAACGCAGAGUCACAGGUUUGAGUUCAUGAAGGUGCUCUUUCCACGUAGCAGGAUAUUUUUUUAGCAGAGUAUUUUUUUCUCCUGUUUAGGUGUAAACGCAACAUGUGGAUAAAAAUAAAUCCUCCAUUGUAACAAAUGCGUUUCAGCCCCCUAAAUAGGAUUUUUUUUCCUUUUCCUCCUGCUUUUUAUACCUGGAUUUUAAAUAUCUGCUACGUGGAAACGGAAGGCCAAAACCAAUACAAAACCAAUGCAACCAGGAGAAAAAAUAUCCACAUUUAAAAAUAUCCAGCUACGUGGAAACAGCACCUAAAGUGGCUGAAAGGUACCAAGUGUGAACAUGUCCUUAUUCUCCAGCAUCUCUCUCUCGUACAGUGAGGGGGCCACAUGGAGCUAAAAAAAAAACCUAGCUCCACAUCGCCCUCCGCUGGGCACAAGACAACACUGCCCUGCCACUAACCCACAGUGAACAUCAGUCAAAUCUGUAAAAUGUAAUAGCCUACAUACUGGUGGUAUUGAUAUCCAGCCUCAAAGCCCUACCGUGGCUGAUAUGGUGGGGCACACGUUUACCACUCGGCCGAACCGGAUUCGAUUCCCGGUCUGGGUCCUUUGCCAGUCCUUACCCAUCUCUUUCUCCCAGCUCACUUCCUGUCUCUCCUCCACUAUCCUGUCUCACAAAAACCAAUAAAGGCUGAAAAGCCCCCCCAAAAAUACUUAGAAAAAAAGAGAAGAUAUCCAGCCUCAACACUCAAGUCGACUCGUGGAUUAAAAACGGAUAUGACGUGGAGAGCUGAAACAGAAAGUAUCCCUGCUGUAGAAUGGCAUGCCCAUAGAGGUAGAAAAUAACACUAGAGAGGACCCCGCCCCCCUUUUACGGCAAUCUGUAGCGGCCAUUAUCUGGAGGUAGAUCAGAGAAAUGGAAAUUAACGGAGAACGAGGCUCACCUCUGUCAAAAAUGGCUUAAUCAUGUGAAAAUGUCCAUCAACACACUAUACAAGGACAAUAGUUGAAGUGUGUUGCUAACUAUGUUCAUAAAAUAUAUUAUUUGAUUUUUAAAUGUAUUUU